rnacentral:lncRNA from 7 species
ACCUGUGCUCAAGCUUGCUGUGUUGGGUGAUUUGCAGAUUAGUGGAGGACCAUUUCUUCUACUGUUGCCUUUGCUUGCCUGCGUGUCCUUUCCUUUGGUGGCCUGCAGCAGAACCAAGACCAGAGAGUGUAAAAGGCUCUGCUGCCUUUCCCUGCCUUGUAGCAUCUCUGCAAGACACGACUGUGGUGACUUUUAGCAUGUGUUCUCAUCCUGAACGCAUCACUUAUGGAAGUGAAUGUAGUCUAUGCUCUUAUCAGUCUGGAUGAAGUUUCUCUAUCUGUGGAGAGAGCCCACAAACUGCUCCAGAGCCCCUGAAGUCUCAGGGGCUCCUUCCUGAUCACAGCUGUACUCCAAGGGACUGUUUGGUGGAGGAGGUGGUGUCCUUAAAUCGUGGGCUUCUUGGAGCUUUGAAGAUAUGUGGUGUCCACUUGUCUUUUGGCUACCCAGAGUUCCAAAUUGACAUGGGAUCUGGCUGCAGCCGGCCAUGUUCCUGCAACAGACAGCUGGGAAACACGUCUGGCUACUGUUGGAUGUAGGUUAUAGCAAUAUAUGUGACUACAUUUCUAUGUUGCUUUCUAUAGCUUCAGCAUCAUUCUACCUGUGAGAUUAAUGUUCAGUGCUGUGGAAAGGAUUUUGACAAUUAUACCUGGACCUUUAGCGAGUACCAUUUCUAUUUGGUGCUAUCAUCACUUUGGCAUUUGCAGUUCCGUGAGCAGCAGCGAGCUGAGAUGUUGCAGUAUGGUACUCUGAACCUUGAGUCUGGUUGAAUAGUUAAUAGCUACUGCAGAUUUACUUUACUCUUGAGCCAAGAAGGGAUGAAUGCUGGGAGCCAAAUCUGAAAGCUCGUCACAACCACAUGAGAUGGAAAAGCAGUCUCUGCGACAUAUUGAUAGCUGUGGAUGACAGAUAUGAUAUUUAUUGCCAUGGACAGUAAGAUUUAUAUACAUUAAAAAAAUGCAAACUUCGGCAAGUGAUGGGAAGCACUGACAGGAAACGCCUUAGAACAAAUUUCUGCAAGAAAAUGUGGCCGGAGGAAGCUGCUUCAGUGAAAAUGUUUUAUUUGUUCUGAUCCUGGGGGAAAAUGGUAGAGUACAAGAAAAGUCAACUUCUGAAAUAUCAUUUCCCUUUACCCAGCGAAAGUCACCUCAACUCUGGUAAAUAAGGGGGAUGUUCUUCCCUGGAUGGCUCUGUAAUUAGAGAUGUUUGAGUACCAUCAGAGAAGAGAGCUAUUUUAACUGAAAACUUUACUCCAGCUAAAUUAAACUGGAGUGUUCAAAAACGUUUGGGUUGCCCUUUUCUCUUGAUCAAAUAAAAUACUCUCCGUUAAAUAU